GUCUUAACUUGACCUUAUUUCUAUAAAUUAUUUGUUGAGUUAAAUUUUUGUUGAUGAGGACUAGUUCUCAGGAACUUCAUACUCGUGUUUAAUAGACCUUCUAUAUAUGGUGUUUAUGGUGUAAAGAAUGAUUUUUUGUAUCCAUUUUGUCUGAUAGGAUCUCUGAACGUCAUGACCUAAAUAUUUAGGUUCCUUUUAAAGUACAUGUAGCUGUCUUUGUAAAAAUCAUGCAGAGGGUGAUUCACAGAAGUAAUUUUGUUUGGUCCUAUAUCAUAUGAAUUUUAAGUAAAUUUAUGUCCCAUGUAUAAUGCAUGUUACCAUGGUAACCAUCAAAACAAAGUUUUGCCUGAAUAGGUAAAAACAGACCCUUUUGAAAAUCUAGAAUAAGGGAAUUUAAUGUCCCAUGGGAAUUAAGUUAAUCAAUAAAAAAACUAUAAGGGUUUUUACAGUUUUUGUAAACAAAACUCCAAACUUAAAAGUCAAAAGGUUUAAAUUGAUCAGGGCU
rnacentral:lncRNA from 1 species